rnacentral:rRNA from 1 species
UACGGGGGGGCAAGCGUUGUUCGGAAUUACUGGGCGUAAAGGGCUCGUAGGUGGCCAACUAAGUCAGACGUGAAAUCCCCUCGGCUUAACCGGGGAACUGCGUCUGAUACUGGAUGGCUUGAGUUUGGGAGAGGGACGCGGAAUUCCAGGUGUAGCGGUGAAAUGCGUAGAUAUCUGGAGGAACACCGGUGGCGAAGGCGGCGUCCUGGACCAAUACUGACACUGAGGAGCGGAAAAGC